CAGUAGCCGCGGGAAUACGAAGGGGGCUAGCGUUGUUCGGAUUUACUGGGCGUAAAGGGCGCGUAGGCGGACUGAUAAGUCAGGGGUGAAAUCCCAAGGCUCAACUCUGGAACUGCCUUUGAUACUGGGUAUCUUGAGUAUGGAAGAGGUGAGUGGAAUUCCGAGUGUAGAGGUGAAAUUCGUAGAUAUUCGGAGGAACACCAGUGGCGAAGGCGGCUCACUGGUCCAUUACUGACGCUGAGGUGCGAAAGCGUGGGGAGCGAACAGGAUUAGAUACCCCCGUAGUCCCUGUCUCUUAUAC
rnacentral:rRNA from 1 species